rnacentral:lncRNA from 1 species
UUUCUCUCUCUCAUGUCUCCACUUCUCACCAGUUGGCUGAUGUUCUCACCAAGCCUUUGCCUGGCACUGUUCAUCAUCGUCUUUUGGCCAAGUUGAAGGUGGUAUCCCCCUCCAACUUGAGGGGGGGUGUUGAGCUAAAAGACUACUUAGCAUCUAAGCCUAAACACAUACAUUGAUGAGUGAUCUUUUCGCCAAGUUGAAGGUGGUCUCCUCCUCCAACUUGAUGAGGGGGGUCGAGCUAAAAGACUACUUAGCCUCUAAGCCUAAACAAAUACAUUGAUGAGUGCUGCAUUUUUAUUGUAUAUUGUAUAUAUUGUACAUUGGGCUGCUACUUUACUAUUGGGCUUGUUUUAGUUUUGGGUCUGUUUUAGCCCAAUCCAUUUUGUAAGACUGACCCAAGAUAUUAGGGUCAAUCAUAUUGAUUAUAUGGCUUCUAGAGGGUUCCGGG